AUCCAGCUGAACAGUAGUCCCAAAUAGAACGAAACGCGCGUUCUGAAU
rnacentral:hammerhead_ribozyme from 1 species